UGUGCUGAUUUUUGGAGAGAAAAGGUUCUUCUUAGAGGCAUGAAAAAGGGAUGAAAGAAAGGUUCUCUCUCAUGCAUGGAAGAAAGAGAAGAAAGUAUUUUUCUUAUCAUCUCUAGUGUAGAGAUCACUAUCCUCCUGAUCUUCUGCUUCUCUAAGAGUAUCUUGAGAGAAAAGAAGAGUCUUCUUCAACCGUCAGGAUGCGAUCUCUGUAAUAGAGCUAGCAUUCCGAUGAGAUCAAAGGCUUCUGAUCAGAUCAAGAUCUUGUGUGGAUACCCAUAG
rnacentral:lncRNA from 1 species